AGUCGAUUGGGGAGCGACAGUAUCUUAGCUCGACCCCCCACCUCCCCCCUUAGCAUAGACCAGGGCCUAGUGUGUUUCUCAUUUGCUUCCAGAAGCUUCAGCUCCCGGCUCCCUCUGCUGGGGCUGCUCCAUUCCCAGGGGCACAGACACAGCCAGGAAGGCGUCAGAAGCUUUUAUUGAGGAGGGAGGAGAGGAUGCUGGUACCAGCUUUAUACCCCAGAGGGAAACUCCCUCCCCUAAGGCAGCCUCCACUCCCAGGCCGGGGAACAGAGAGGAAGGUGCAGCAUUGGGGAAGAGCCGUUUAACAUCAGAGAGUAGGAGCUGGCCUUGGGUGGGGGAGCCCCAUCCCCAUCCCAGAGAGAAGUGAGGAGCUGGCAGCAUCACAGGGAGAGCAUCUCUGCAAUCCAGGACACAGUGAGCAGCUCCAGUGGGAGAGCCCAGCCCUGCCCACAGGAAAGGCAGGAUGUUGGAGAACAGUGAUGGGGAGACCCCUUGCACUAGGGCAGGCCUGCACAACUUAUGGCAGAGUGUCUGGAGGGGGAAAAGAUAAAACAGGCAUCUCCCAGCAAUGGACCCAACAUCCUUUUGAACUCCCA